rnacentral:rRNA from 1 species
AGUGAACGCUGGCGGCAGGCCUAACACAUGCAAGUCGAACGGCAGCACGGGCUUCGGUCUGGUGGCGAGUGGCGAACGGGUGAGUAAAGCAUCGGAACGUACCCGGAAGUGGGGGAUAACGUAGCGAAAGUUACGCUAAUACCGCAUAUUCUGUGCGCAGGAAAGCGGGGGAUCUUCGGACCUCUUGCUUUCGGAGCGGCCGAUGUCAGAUUAGCUAGUUGGUGGGGUAAAGGCCUACCAAGGCGACGAUCUGUAGCGGGUCUGAGAGGAUGAUCCGCCACACUGGGACUGAGACACGGCCCAGACUCCUACGGGAGGCAGCAGUGGGGAAUUUUGGACAAUGGGCGCAAGCCUGAUCCAGCCAUGCCGCGUGAGUGAAGAAGGCCUUCGGGUUGUAAAGCUCUUUCGGCCGGGAAGAAAUCGCACCAGUUAAUACCUGGUGUGGAUGACGGUACCGGAAUAAGAAGCACCGGCUAACUACGUGCCAGCAGCCGCCGUAAAAC